rnacentral:rRNA from 1 species
AGAGUUUGAUCAUGGCUCAGAACGUACGCUGGCGGCACGCCUAACACAUGCAAGUCGAACGAAGUAGCAAUACUUAGUGGCAGACGGGUGAGUAACAUGUGGGUAUCUGCCCUUUGGCCUGGAAUAACACGAGGAAACUUGUGCUAAUACCGGAUAAGUCUUUACGGAGAAAGCUUUAUGCACCAUUGGAUGAGCCCGCACUUGAUUAGUUUGUUGGUGGGGUAAUGGCCUACCAAGACUGUGAUCAAUAGCUGAUUUGAGAGGAUGAUCAGCCACAUUGGGACUGAGACACGGCCCAAACUCCUACGGGAGGCAGCAGUGGGGAAUCUUGCACAAUGGAGGAAACUCUGAUGCAGCGAUGCCGCGUGAGUGAAGAAGGCCCUUGGGUUGUAAAGCUCUUUCGUCGGGGAAGAAAAUGACUGUACCCGAAUAAGAAGGUCCGGCUAACUUCGUGCCAGCAGCCGCGGUAAUACGAAGGGACCUAGCGUAGUUCGGAAUUACUGGGCUUAAAGAGUUCGUAGGUGGUUGAAAAAGUUAGUGGUGAAAUCCCAGAGCUUAACUCUGGAACUGCCAUUAAAACUUUUCAGCUAGAGUAUGAUAGAGGAAAGCAGAAUUUCUAGUGUAGAGGUGAAAUUCGUAGAUAUUAGAAAGAAUACCAAUUGCGAAGGCAGCUUUCUGGAUCAUUACUGACAC